rnacentral:rRNA from 1 species
UACGGAGGGUGCGAGCGUUGUUCGGAAUCACUGGGCGUAAAGCGCGUGUAGGCGGCUUCUUAAGUCCGAUGUGAAAGCCCGGGGCUCACCCCCGGAAGUGCAUUGGAUACUGGGAGCUGGAGUACCGGAGAGGGUGGCGGAAUUCUCCAAGUAGAGGUGAAAUUCGUAGAUAUGGGGAGGAACACCGGUGGCGAAGGCGGCCACCUGGACGGUAACUGACGCUGAGACGCGAAAGCGUGGGGAGCAAACAGG